CCUACGGGUGGCAGCAGUGAGGAAUAUUGGUCAAUGGCCGGAAGGCUGAACCAGCCAAGCCGCGUGAGGGAGGAAGGCGCAGAGCGUCGCAGACCUCUUUUGCCGGGGGACAAAAGGCCGGACUCGUCCGGUCCUGAGGGUACCCGGAGAAAAAGCAUCGGCUAACUCCGUGCCAGCAGCCGCGGUAAUACGGAGGAUGCGAGCGUUAUCCGGAUUUAUUGGGUUUAAAGGGUGCGCAGGCGGCCUGUUAAGUCAGCGGUAAAAGCCCGGGGCUCAACCCCGGCGAGCCGUUGAAACUGGCGGGCUGGAGUUGGAGAGAAGUACGCGGAAUGCGCGGUGUAGCGGUGAAAUGCUUAGAUAUCGCGCAGAACCCCGAUUGCGAAGGCAGCGUACCGGCUCCACACUGACGCUGAGGCACGAAAGCGUGGGUAUCGAACAGGAUUAGAUACCCUGGUAGUC
rnacentral:rRNA from 1 species